rnacentral:lncRNA from 1 species
GUAAGUACUUACCUAGACUUCCCAAUGAAAACUUGAAGUUGCUAUAUCUGACUGCAGAUGCUGCCAUUGGAGAUAUUAAGUGUUCAAUUUAGUACUGUGAACUGGAUGUAUUUUGAGAUGAAUGGCUAUGUGCUUGAAGAGUUAUAGAAAAAAAAAUUUUCUUUCCUAAAAUAUAGAUUUAGGUGACUAUUAAUAACUCUUAAAUGAUACUAUCCAACAGAUUUUGAGAAGCAUACUAUCGAUUAUUGCGACUUUGUCUACUGCAGGAAUGAAUCGUCCCACUGUCAAUCAUCCUGGGGUGUGAAAUGAGUGUACCUCAGACUUGGGUAGGGGACGAUCUCUGCCUGUGGUUGAGGCUGAAGCUUGUAUGGGGAUCAGGAUGGGAGAGACCUAGAGAUUUGGGGUUGUGAGGGGUAAGCUGGCCUUGCCUCGUGGGAGACAAUCAAGAGUAAGAUAGGGAAUUUAGGUGUUGGCUCCAGUUGAGAGUAGACACUUUUGUAGCAGCAAAAGUCACUCUCCAAACUCUAAUUUUGCUAUUCCUCAAUCAUUCCUAGAAUUUUAUUGAACACCACAUUGCGGUCUCAGCUCCUCUUUGGGUUGGAAAGGGAAGGAACUGAAUCCAUGCUUGGAGUGAAAAGAGGAGGCGCGGGGAAACCAACACAGAGGAGCCACUAAUGCGGGAUCAAAGUGACUUGAGAGAUGCGGAGUGGGAGGUGUCUCUCCUCACCUUGACAUCGCUAGCAUGGCUGAUGAUUGAUGUAGGUUCACGCCCAGGACCUGAACUCCCGAACCCAUGCCACUGAAGCGGAGCACACAAACUUAACCACUACACCACUGGGCCUGCCUUGAAAAUCUCCCCCUUUUUAAAGAUCUGAAUGGCCAGCAUCUCUACUCUAGCACUUUGGGGCCGUUAUUGCAUGAAAGAAGGGUGACUGGAACACGAGCACUGCGUGACCUGGACAGCCAUCUGAUAACUGAGAUGGCUACGAAGUGCCUAACGGGCGGGCAGCAGAUAUGGCAUGGAUCCACUGGACAAGGGGUCAUUCACAUCGCGGGCAGGACAGAAGAGGACUGGCUCGAGAUUUCAUCAUGCUACUCAGAAAGGCACACAGUUUAAAACUUAUGAAUAGUUUAUUUCUGGAAAUUUCCAUUUAAUACUUUAGGACCUCAGUUGAUCGAGGGUAACUGAAACCACAGAAGUGAAGCUGCAUAUAAAGGGGGAACUACUCUCCCUCUUAGAUUCUGUGAGAAACUUGGGGAUCAUCCAGUCCAGGAAAAUGGGGAGUGGCCUUGCUCAUUAUCAGGGGUGGCCUUCAAAGGAGGUGGUUCUGCCAACAACUCCAUUCCUUCCGUGCCAUGCUUAGCCAUAGAAACCUCUGCUGAGGCUCCUGAGACCCAGUGCCCGGGGCAGCUUUGUCGGUCACUGAUUCACCUGUCCCCAUCCAGGAGCCCGGCACCCCAGGGGCAAUGCCCCGAGAGGCUCUGGUCUCCCUGCUUCCCUAAGUUACACGCUUCCAUUCUCCUUGCCUGUCUCAGGUGACAAGCAUGCUCGGGGCGUUUGGCCAUUCCCAUCUCCACCCUCCCUCUCUUGGAUGGGCAGUUAAUUUCCUCACUGCACCUAGACCAGGGGUGGAAAAUGAGCCCUGUGGGUCGUAGGCAGCUUCACAGCCUCUUGUUGCUGUUUUCCCUUGGUGUGCAUGGUGGCAUCCUGCACAGAGUUUAAAUCUCUCUGUGUAUCCUCAUCACUGAGACCAAGGUCAGCUGCAGUUUGUCAUCUUGUGCCAGGUUCACUUUACUCAUUUACAUUAUCUGUCUGGUCUUCAUAGGUCUGAGAGUUUGUAAGCCCAGGUGUAGACUUUCCAGAUACCUGCUAACUUGUGUGUGAGUGUGUGUGUGUGUGUUUAAAGCUCAGAAAUACAAAGAUACCUCUGUCUUCUCUACAGCAUAUGCAGAGAGCUUAGAUCUUGUAGAUCUGGCUACCCACCUGGUGAGGAGUAGUCAAUGGGAAUAGAGGAAGCUGAAUUGCUUUCCACAGGAAUAUCUAGCAGCAAAAACAGCACACGAUACUUUCUCAGUGGGUCGCCAUGCUACAUGGAGUUAUCAAUAAGUCAUCUCCCCAGAAUGUGACAUCCCUGGUGGCAGGGAUAACGUCUAACCCGAUGCACGGCUUAUUGAGACACCGUAGGUAUUUUUGUUGGGUAAGUGAAUGGAGAGAAUGAAUGAUGGUGGCUUUUUAUUGCUAUGUGGUGGAGUAAUAAAGUGUGAGCUCCUUGAUUCUGGUUGUUGUCAAAAAUGAUCUGUCUUGUGAGGCAGAAUUAGGGUCACUUAUACCAAAUAGGUUCUAAAUUCCAUGAAAGAGAUCUCAGGGAUUUGUAUUACAGCCUUUUCCUGAGAAAACAAGGUGCAGCCUGAUUUACCUAAUCGAUUUACCUAAUCAAUAAACUAGGCAAGUUUUAUACAUUGAUGCCAACUCCCCCGGCAUGAUCUCACGGUAUUUUUUGGAUGGGGAGGUGUCUCAGAGGAGCUGAAAGCAGUGGCAUGCUGUCCCAGCACAGACCCUCCGUACAUCACCUUUGCCCCAAACUCCCCCU